CGAUAUGACGACAAAGUUUGCUGUGCACCAGUCUGAUAGUACUCUUGCAUGAGAGACAUAGUAUACCCAAAUUUCUGAUA
rfam:Pichia sorbitophila strain CBS 7064 chromosome M complete sequence.